UGUUCUCUUGGCCCAUGUAAUCACUUAAAUUUUGUGUAGUAGAGAAAUGUGCUAUUGGGUAUUCUAUGUUUUAUUAUCCGAUUUUCUAAGGUUGUUUCUAAGAUUCUAUGGUAAUUCAGUACUAUUAAAUAAGUCUUUUGGUUUUUUGAAAAUCUGUUUCUUUCCAGUAUUUUAAUUUCACCAGUUUGUCUUCUACAAGGACGAAUGUAUUGUUCUGUGCUGGAGAGUGAAGACCAUGUACAGGCCCAGAGGGGAAUGAGCUGCUUUUGCCAAGUGAAACCAGCCAGGAGUGGAGGUGCAAAAAGCCUUACUACAUCUGCAUCACUCAAAGAAUUGAGGCUGAUGGUAACCUCCAGAGGUGGUCUGAAGGGGACCAUUCUACACAAGGGAGAAAAAUUUAUGGUUCCCAAUCACGUUUCACAAGUUCUUUGUGAAAGAAAUGGAGUGUUGCAUGUCCAGCUGAGGCCUUUGCUGUUACUGCAGGGAUGCUCCCCAUCGCAUCCUGACCGUGCCAGUGCGGACUGUUGAUUGGAGUCCCACAGUGCAACAACUAGCAUCCAAUUUGCGAGGAAGCAGACCUGCCCCCGCUCCUGACAUUCGGGCAUUAUGGCGGGCCCCGCAGCAUCCCACGGCAACAAGCGCUUCCUCAUCUUCUUCGACUUUGACGAGACCAUCGUGGACGAGAACAGCGACGACGCGGUGGUCCAGGCGGCACCCGGGCGGAAGCUGCCCGGCUGGCUGAAGGACUCCUACCGGCCGGGGCACUACAACGAGCACAUGCAGCGCGUGCUGGCCUACAUGGCCGAGCAGGGGGUGCCCGAGGACACCAUCCGCUCCGCCAUCGAGAAGAUCCCCGCCUCGCCCGGCAUCCUGGCCCUCUUCCAGUACAUGCGCGCCCACCCGAAGGAUUUCGAGGCGGUGCUGGUGUCGGAUGCGAACACGUACUUCAUCGAGGCCUGGCUCCGCAGGGCCGGCGCCCGCCAGCUCUUCCACAAGAUCUUCACCAACCCGGCCUCCUUCGACGGCGGUGGCCGGUUGGUCCUCCGACCCCACCACUCCCACGGCUGUGCCCGGUGCCCAGAGAACCUGUGCAAGCAGGCGGUGGUGCGGGACUACCUGGCGCAGCGGGCGCAGGAGCGCGGGUGCCCCUUCCAGCGCGUCUUCUACGUGGGCGAUGGCGCCAACGACUUCUGCCCCUUGCUGGCUUUGGGGCCGAUGGACACGGCGUUCCCUCGGCGGAACUACCCCGCUCACAAGCUGAUAGUGGAGGCCCAGGAGGCCCGGCCCUCGGUCUUCAAACCUGCCGUGGUGCCUUGGUCUAGUGGAGAGGACGUGGUGAACCACGUGAAAAGGCUUUUGGAGGAGAGGUGACGUACGGAUGAAGAGGCUGGAUAACAUGCCGACCCUCCCUAAUGCACAGGGGCAUUCACCAGUGACCAGCGCACAGUGUAGGCUUGAGGAGAAGCUGUCGAUACAGGGAUAUAGAGACUGUGUAGAUGUUACACGUGUAGGAAAAACAGCGUGCAAGUAGACUUGCAUGCAUUACUAUUUAUCAUGGAGGUAUUAAACAUGAGUGUGCCCACAUAUGCUUACUCUCUGAGGGCGGUCAAAGACGUUUCUUUCCUGUUGGAAUAGAUCCAUAUUCCCCUAGCCUUUAUUUUUUCAUUUAACCUUUGUUUAACCAGGAAAAAAAUCCCAUUGAGAUCGAAAUCUCUUUCGCAAAGGGGACCUGACAUAAAACACAAAGUUACAAAGUUACACAAGACAAACAAGUUACAAACAUCAAAUGGAGAAAGAGACAGCAGUGUAACAGUAAUUAAAAGCAGUGCAUAUUCCCCUGGCCUUGAUAAAUGAUCCUGUUUGCCUUGAGAUUCUCAGACCGCAGGCCUGUCACUGACUUGGAGCUCCACACCUGGAGCUAAAGAGCGAGUCACACCCCGGAGUACUUCUGUUCCUCGUAUUCCAGGCCAAAGUUCAGCCCGCCAACAGAGAAGAGACAAGCUUUCAGCAAAAUCUACCCCUCCCCAACACCAGCGGCUUUAGGAUGGAAUGCCAGAGACUGAAGAAGUGGAGGCUUAAAUGGUAAAUAUGUGGCUCCAAGUGAGUAAGUUUUGUUUGUUUGUUUGUUUAUUUGAAGUAUACUGAAGGUAUAACUGCACUUUAUCCCUUUGCUAUGGCAACCAUUGUUAUGGUAGUGUAGAUGGUACCCACACUAGGAGAAAUGCUUACAGGUAUGAGAACGCUUCCACACAGUUACAUUACACAGGUGUAUUACGAAGAGAUCUUCAAUCAAGACAGAGUCUCAGGUGAACUUGUUAUCAAGUCUUCAUUAUGAGUAUGGUCAUUAUCAAUGACAGUAAUUGGACAUGUCGAAACAUUCUGUCUGAGGAAGAUCUUCCAAGGGGUUGCAGCUUCAGCAUUAAACAUUUGCAAUCAUUUUCUUCUAUAGUAUGCAUUUGCAUUGAUUAUGAUGUCGAUGAUGAUAUAAAAAUUUUGAUAAUCAGUAUCUGUUGAAAUAUACCAUUUGAACUUUUGUAGAGUUUUUCUGUCUAAUUUACAUUCAUAUGCAGUAUAUAAAUGCAGGACAAUUCAUAAAUGAACAUGGGAGGACAGCAUAAAUCAAACAAUCAGGGCUUCAACACUGUGUUGGGUCCUUUUUCUAUUUUGGCCAUAGGGAAGAAAGCCUCCUACUGGCUCGCCAAUACUUUUUCUACCAGUAAAUUUAUUACUAUUACUGCCUUAUCUUUGGGGGGCAGUUGCAGUUACACAACUUGGUGCAAACUGGGUAAUGUUCUCUCUUUUUAUGCGCUUUACACCAGGAAUGUGUUAUUUAGCAGGAACGCAAGAAGCUUGCAUGCAUUCCAGUGCAUUAAACCAGAACCUCAUUUAAGGUUCAGAUGACAUGUGAAGAGUAACGGAGCGAGUCUGUUUUUCAUGUCUUUCACAUCAGUGUUUGGCUACUUGCUUAAUCUCAUGGUGAAAGAGAAGUAGGAUGUAUAUUUAUACAAGGGACAGUUCCCUUUCAGUCCAUUAAAAAAAGAAAUAAUUUCAGUUUUAAUGUAUGUUUUUUAAUUGGCCCCGACAGUCUUUCUGUGUGUUGAAGGAUUUUUCUGGGGGGUAGUUAUACAUCAAGGUAGUUACGGUUCUGGAGGGGUGAUCUGUGCACCACACAGGCUACUUGGACACAAGCUGGGGUCCGAUCAACCCCAGCUGGGUCGCCUGGGUGAGGGCGUAUGUUCGAAAGACCCAAAACACCCAAUUACCCCAGGUUAUAUUGCUGAUGGUGUGCCGCCCAAGAGCACUGCAAGAUGCGUGGAACAGCUGUAAGUUUCUGAUUAUCUGCCAAUCAAAAACAUUAAAACUAUAAUUUCAAAAAAACUCCUCAAAGUUAACUAUCCCUUGUUACUUAUAGUAUUUCUUUCAGUAUAAGCUUUAGAAUCUCCAGGCCAGAUUUGAUGAAAUGCAUUAGGCUGUUUAAGGUUAUAUUGUAAUUCAAGCAAACGUUUCAGAUUAAUCUGGCGCCAUACCUCAAUAAAGCGUGCUUUGCUCACCGUAUUAAGAUAUGGUGACCGGGCAUGAGAGGUUCAUGCCCAUGACAGUGAAUCCACAUCAACAUCCUGGUAAUGAUUAAUUGGUCAGGCUACUUUUUAAAUAUCUGACUUUUCAAACUAAAAGCUCUGUCUUCAAUCUCACUCCACCACUUUUUUCUAGUGAUAUUCCCAGUAGUGUGCAUCCCGACUGUGCCAGUGCCAUCUGUGUUCUGAAGUCCCACAGGGUGACACACACACAAAUAUCUGAUGGUAUUUGUCCUUUCAGACUGCUCUUCUUGUACGGUACAUUCUCAUACAUCUCAUACAUUGGUUGUAUUUCAGGAUUCAUCACAUGAAUCAUUCUGUAAAAGUACCUUCAGAACUUGUGUCUGCAAAACACAAUACUUCUCACCACAAGGUGGCAGCAGAAAUAUAACUGAACACAAGAGGUGUCUUCAUUAUUUUCUCAUGCCAUCAAACAGUUCAUGGUCCUUGCAUGGUGGCACCUGAGAGACAAACAGGGAAGUGAACAUUAAUACAUACCUUAUGUUUUCCACUCUUUUGAAUUAAAUAACCUCAUUUUAGUUUUGACUCACCUAAAACCCUGCAGUGUUCUCAACAUUCCUCACCCUACGAUAUCUCGUUCACUUUAAUGAGCAUUCAGAAAGGCAUGCUACUUUCACCAUAGUGUUAGGCUGCUUAAGACGAGGUUUUGAAAUAAAAUACAUUUCCUGAGCGGCAAUGUAAUGACUUUGGCAAUACCAGUAACUUAAAUGUUAGCAGUAAAGAAUAGUUGUGCCGGAACACAGUAAAGAAGUUCAUUCUUCCAUCAAUGCCCACAGCUCCCAAGGCAAUUGUGUAGGCCCCCAUAACCCAGAUUGCUUUACUUAAGGGCAGAGGGAAAAGUAUAUAAGAAAUAAAAUGGUGUCUUUAGCUGUUUGUAGCUCAAUGCAUUUACUGAAACAACACAAAAUGUCCUACAUUUUAUUCCUACUCACACCCAGUUUAUUGAUCAGGCAGGGCAUCAUAGUGUAAUGUAUCAUUGUUGACUGUUGAAAUAUUUCUGUAAAGCCAGCUGUAUUUCCCACCGUGCACUAUCCAUCCUCACUUUGCCGGGGGAGGGAGGAUACAGAAGGACUGCUGAGGCUCAGAGGGAUUUGGGGGGGGGGGGGCUGAGGCAGCCUCUGUGUGGUUCAUGCACAACCCCCCAGGUCUGUAUCUCCCUUUCUGCUUGAAAUCUGACUCACCGAAGUUUAAA